UACAGAGGUCUCAAGCGUUGUUCGGAUUCAUUGGGCGUAAAGGGUGCGUAGGCGGCGCGGUAAGUCGGAUGUGAAAUCUCGGAGCUUAACUCCGAAACUGCAUUCGAUACUGCCGUGCUUGAGGACUGGAGAGGAGACUGGAAUUUACGGUGUAGCGGUGAAAUGCGUAGAUAUCGUAAGGAAGACCAGUGGCUGAAGGCCGGGUCCUCGUGGACAGUUCCUGACGCUGAGGAGCGAAAGCAUGGGGAGCAAACGGG
rnacentral:rRNA from 1 species